CCAUAGCAAGAGUGAACCACCUGAUCCCUUCCUGAACUCAGAAGUGAAACCUCUUAGCGCUGAUGGUAGUGUGGGAUUACCCAUGUGAGAGUAAGUCAUCGCCAGCU
rnacentral:rRNA from 1 species